CUGCCGCCACCAUGAGCGAUCAGCAGCUGGACUGUGCCUUGGACCUAAUGAGGCGCCAGCCUCCACAGCAGAUCUAGAAAAACCUCAGUGACCUGAUCGACCUGGUCCCCAGUCUGUGUGAAGAUCUCCUGUCGCCAGAGACAAGGAGGUGGGCAAGGACUACCUUUUAUGCGACUACAACAGAGACGGGGAUUCCUGUAGGUCACCAUGGAGUGACAAGUAUGAUCCUCCUUUGGAAGAUGGGGCCAUGCCAUCUGCUCGACUGAGAAAGCUGGAGGUGGAGGCCAACAAUGCCUUCGACCAAUACGGAGACCUGUAUUUUGAAGGUGACGUCUCAUCUAUCUACGUCUGGGAUCUGGAUCACGGCUUCGCUGGAGUGAUCCUCAUAAAGAAGGCUGGAGACAGGUCAAAGAAGAUCAAAGGCGGCUGGGAUUCCAUCCAUGUGGUGGACGUACAGGAGAAGUCCAGCGGCCGUACCGCCCAUUACAAGUUGACCUCCACGGUGAUACUGUGGCUGCAAACCAACAAAUCCGGCUUAGGCACCAUGAACCUGGGAGGCAGGCUGACCAGACAGACGGAGAAAGAUGAAACCGUGAGUGACUGCUCUCCACACAUAGCCAACAUUGGGCGCCUGGUGGAGGACAUGGAAAAUAAAAUCAGAAGUACACUGAAUGAGAUCUACUUUGGAAAAACAAAGGAUAUCGUCAAUGGCCUGAGGUCUGUGCAGAUGUUUGCACACAAAUCAAAGCAAGAAGCUCUCAAGAACGACCUGGUGGAGGCCUUGAAGAGAAAGCAGCAGUGUUAAACCUCUGCUUCACGCUAACCGGACACGUCAUGCACUCAUU